AGUAUUAACCCACUGUGAUUCAUUUCCGCUGAGACAGCUGCAACCCUUUAGCAAAUUUGGGAGGGAGGGGAAAAAGGGGAAGGUACUUUGCAUCUCAAUCAAGUGCCUUCUCCAUGCAAGGACAGCACAUCAUGCAGGAAAAUGUGCUUUGCUUUUCCACUGGAAUCCUGGGUAGAGAUAACCAUUUGUUGUCGUAGGAAGAGGAGGCUGGGGGAACACUGCAGCUUUUGAAAAGUGUUGAUCAUCCUCUUACCAAGACCAGAGAGAGAGAAGGGCUGAGAAACAAGAUGGGUGUAAAGCUGUUCACAGACAAAUCACUGUUAGAGGGGCCCUAGAAAGGUGGGGAAAGAUACAGUUUUGGAGUUUAAGGAUGUAUGAAAUGGAGGAAUAGACAGAUACAGAGAUAACAGUGCCGGAAUAUGUUGUGUGUUUUGAUGUGUGGUACAUAAUUUUGUCUCAGGCAGGAAAAAUCUCUAACCUAAAAUUCACCAGCUGGGCAGCUUUUAAGCACAAGUAGUAACCAAAGAGAAGCUUCAUGUCUGAUUCCCCAUUAUUUAUUCCUGUCUUAAUGUCCUCAUUCCUUGUGUUCCUGUUAGCUGCUUCCUCAAUCCCCAAACAUCAUUUCUUUGAGUUUUGUGUGGAUUAUCUGAUGGUGCGAGUUUUUGAAGCUUUACUGAAAAUAAAGGCCUCUUCAUCUGAAGAUGCAUCAAUGCUGUUAUGUGAGUUCCAAGUGAACAGGAGAGAAUGGAAGAAGCCCUGAAGCAGAGAAACAGAAUACUUGUCUUCACAGAUGCCUCAGCGUGGUGGGCAGUGCUGUGGAUCUGAAGAAAUGUGAGGACUCAUCUGGGAGCAGAAGCCAAAAUUUGCCCCAGGUAGCCAGGACAUGAGAGUGUGCUUCCAGUCUGGCCUGGUGGGAUCCCGAAUUCCCUUGUGUUUGGCAGCUUCAGUAGCAAGAUUGGAGAGGCCUCGCUCUCAGGUGAACCUUUAGCAAGGUGCCCCUAAGAGGCUGCUUUGGAUUACCUCAGGCUCAGUGUAGGGAACUGAGCCUGGGUCUUCUCCUUCCUGGGUGUGCAUUCUCAUCCCCAGGCUAUUAAAUAGAAGGGAUAGGUGAGAAGGUUGCUGGCUUCCUUUGGCUCUAUUUGAAAAGGAAGUAUCUGCCAUCAGUGCACUUCAUGGGGCGCCUAAUCUUGUUGUGUGUUCUGAAAACACCCUUCAGACAGAGCCCCUUAGGGGACAUGAGGUUCUGGAGCCUGCUCAGGCUGCAGUGCUGAGCUGUUUGGCCCUGCUGAGACUGAGGCAGUUCUGGGCAUGCAUAGAGGUGAGACAUCACCUAUCUGGAACGUCUGGAAAUCAAAAAAAGUAAGGUGCCUCUGUGUGUGAAAUUUCAGAAUCACAAUUUUUGUCACUAUUGGGUUUAGCUUGAUAAUAUAGUUCAAUAUUUUAAUUUUGAGUAAACCUUGACCUAAUAAAGUCAAUCUCCAUCUCUGUGAGAAGCAGAGAUUAUUUUUUUCUUUUAUAACUUGAAGCAAAGGUUGAACAAAUUUUAACGGGCAACCCCAUUGUUGGAUUAGUGCCCUCAUUCAAUCAGAGCGUGCAAAACACAAACCCUAGGCAGAGCUAAACUACAAAGCGGAGGAGAUUUUCACAAUGCUAAAUGGAGUGAAAGCACCAGGGGAAAAAUGUCUGAAAUCCUCUUAUAUGAUUAUUAAAACAAAAAUACACACACACACGAAACCAGCGAAGUCUUAGACUGGGGUGCCACAGGGAACUGGCAAGAGAACAGCCUGUUCUAGUUGGAUGCUUGCUUUGAUAUUAGAUGGAAGCUGUAACAAAGCAAAUAUCCCAGGACUGCUUACAGGUCUCUGUGGAGAAGCUGACCAUGAGUCUAUUGGCCCCUUUCUCCUUCCACGGCUGAGCCCAGCUAACUUCCAGCUCUCAUCACUACCCCUCUCCAGUCACACUGCCCAGUCUUUGUGCCUGUCAGAUUAUUAUGAAACCUCAUGCUCAUUUCUUCCUAACCUUCAUGAGAUUAAUUUCUUGGCCUUUCCACCCAAAUAUCAUUUGUCAUCUACAAUUGCACCCGUGUCUCUGGAAUCUCUAUGGGUUCCACAGGAUUAACAUUCUCUCUUGGGUGUCUUGCUUGCUUGCACUGGCCUCCUGUGCACACACGCUUUUAGCACUACCAAGAGACAUCAGUAUGUGCAUUUUCACCAGAGUCUAGCUAGCAUUACUACAAAGUUUUAGAAAUAGAUUGAGAAGUCCUUAGGAAUACAACCUUCUUUUCUGGCUUC